AUGUCUUCCUCCUCGGGCUCCUCCCAGCCCAGCCUCAAUGGGCAGGUCAUCGAGAAGCUCUCCCGCACGAACUGCGUGUUGUGGCACACGUAGAUCACGCCUCAACUACGUGGCGCCGGUGUCUUCGGCUACAUCGACGGCACAUCGCCGGAGCCGGCCAAGCUCCUCGCCGCCAAGGACAAGGACGGCAAGGAGACCUUUGAGCCCAACCCUCUCCACCCCAUCUGGGUCCGGGAGGACCAACAGGUGCUCGGCUACUUGCUGAGCAACCUCUCCAAGGAGGUGCUGGUCACGGUGACCACGGUCACCACGGCGCCCGUGCUCUGGACGACACUGGCGGGCAUGUACUCAUCGCAGUCGCUGAGCCACGUCAACAACAUCCAUACCUCGCUCAUCAAUGCGCAGAAAGGUACCAAAUCCACCGCCACCUACUUCGCCUUCAUGCAUGGCCUCGCCGACGAGCUGGCUGCAGCUGGCAAGCCGAUCCAGGAUGAUGAACUCAUCUCCUAUAUUCUCCAUGGGCUGGAUCUGGAGUACCAGCCCCUGGUCUCGGCCCUCGACGCCCGCUUCUCCCUCGCCUCCCUCGAUGAGAUCUUCGCCAUGCUCAGCAACUUCGACCAACGCAUGCCGCAGUUCCACGGCGCGGGCGGCAACACCUUCAAGUCGUCCGUCAAUGCCGCAACCCGUGGGUGUGGUGGUGGUGCGCGCUCCUGCGGUCCUUCCCGUGGCAGGGGGAGGUCUAGCAGCAAUGGCAACAGCGGCGGGCGCUCCAACAACAAGGCCCGCCGCGGCGGCGGUGGCUCUGGCAGAACUCGUCCGGACUCGCCUCGUUGCCAGAUCUACGGCAAGCCGGGCCACACUGCCAAAGACUGCUAG
rnacentral:rRNA from 1 species